CUCUCUCUCCUUCCGCGCGACUUGGCCGUGCGACCCUUCGCCUUCUCGGCGACGGCCCGGCCACCACAGGCCGAGCUGAUCUCCGCCGUGGGUACCAUCGGGUCCGCCUCCCUCUCGCCGUCAAAACCUGACCGACCUCCACCCUUGGGCCGCUCGGAGUUGAUCGGAAAACCAUGUUUUCCGACGGAGAUUCGUCCGAAACCACCCGAACUUCCAGCUCGAUUUUCUCCUUCAAUUUUCCACCAAAUCGGUCGAGUAAGGUAUGGUUUCUCAGCUAUUUUUCACGUUCUAGCUGAUGGAUGUACGGGUUUCGAUCGAUUUUAGUCCUAAAGCGAUUAAUUUUUGACUUGAAAUCUGGCCGAAACUUCGGCCGCCUAGAACUACUGUUUCUGGUCACUUUUUGGGGUUUGUCCAAGAACAAAAGUGACUCCAAAUGGGGUGUUCUACCUAGGAUAGGAAUUUGGAGUCUUGGUUCCGAGAUUUUUCGGCCACCCGAAAACGCUUAAGACACCCAAAUCUGACCGCGCGUGCUGGGACGCGUGGGCGAGGGUGGUGGAGUAAUUCUGUGCAGUUUUGUGACCUUCGUGUCGUCACGAGCGCGUAGGAUUUCGCGGAUCUAGAUUCGGAGUCCGUUUGAGCCCCGAACGGAUUUUCCAUAUCGCGCGAUCCGUGGGUGCAGUGUCGUCAAAUAAUUGGAUCGCGCUGGAUUUCGGAUAUGUCGGUCUACACGAUCUCAGGAUCGUGUAGGAUUCAACGGAUUGCGAAUCGGAGUCCCGGAUACUCCGAAAUCGCGAACCCUGGGGCUAGGGUUUGGAUUUUAAGCGAUAACGCGAUUUUGGCUAAUCUGACCGUCCGUUUCGGACCAAAAUCGCAGAACAUGGUUCCUUCUCUGUAAGGAACCUUCAGAGGAGCCCAGAUUGGCCAUCGGAGGCCGUGGACCCACGGGGUCCCGGAUCGGCCGAUCUGGCAGCUUACCGCUUAUUUAUUUUUCGGGUCUCUUAAGGCCGGUCUAACUGUCCCAAAAAGCUAAGGUGGGCAUAGAAGUAACCUGAAACGAGUGCACGUAUUUCUAAGAGCCGGGGGCAGGGUGUUUAGUUGAAAUUCUUUUUAUUCAGCAGUUUAUUAAUUUAACUUUUAUGGGUAAUCAGGCACCAGGAGCCCGACAGGAUUGCAAAAGAGACCUUCGAAGGGUCAAAGUAGCUCGGACCAUCUGUGAGUGGACUUUCAUUCAUGAAUUAUUUUAUAUAAAUGAGUUAUAUAGAGGUUUUCCAUAAAUAAGAUUUUAUAAGUGAUUUUAUAUAAAAGAGUUUUUAUAAACGGGUUUAUUUGACUAAAUUCCUUAUUUGAUCUUGAGUAAGCUUUAUUGUGUUUCCGAGCAUGAUUAAUACAGAAAUAGUUCUAUGAGUUGUGUGCUACUUACUUUUACAUGCUUAAGAGUUAUAGAAAACAGAUUUUGAGGCUUAUGGCAGAUGAAAUAGCAGCACAAUUUGAGAUUUCAGUUAUUAAUCAGAUUUUUCUAAAGGAAUUUAUUUUAAAACCACCUCGUACCCAUUUAUUUAUGGUGAUUACCCAGAGUUGGACCGAUGUCUACGGACGUCCAGUCCGAUUUCAGUUUAUGUCAGUGCACUUGACUUUGCCUCACGAGUUACGGGGACGCUCGGACCGUGAGUGCCAGGAUUUGCGGCUCGGCAGACUUGGUGUCCCGAGACCUGCCAGGAUUGCGGCUCGGCUGACUCUGUGUCCCCGAGACCUGCCAGGAUUGCGGAUCAGGCUAACUACGGUCCCCUGCAUCCUGCCAGAGCGACUCGAGCUGACUUGGUGUCAUCGAGGAAUCUGCCGGCAAGAUCAGGCUGAUCAUAGUCCCCUGAUUUCGCCAGUUUGCGGCUCGGGUGGACUGCGUGGCGCCCGAGACCUGCCAGGGGAAUUGACGGUUAUGACAGGGGUACAAGUAGGUGGUAUUUUCAAAGGAUUUUCAACUCUUUUAUUCAGUUAUGAUUUUCAACUAUUUCAAACCAGUUACUUUGAUAUUUGCGCCUUUUGUAUCUUUAUAUAAUUGUUCAGUGUUACGAAGCUAUAGGCUUACGAUUAUAUUUAUUUUCAGAUGAAAACCUUAUAUUAAACACAAGUGAACCUUAGCCGUACUUAUCAAGUUAUUGUUAUGGGGGUUAUUAUGCUUAUAAAAAUUGUUUUCAAGAACAUUAUUUUUGUCCACUCACAUUUUCAAUCUGUUUUACGCCCCCAG
rnacentral:lncRNA from 1 species